CUCUGAAUCUUUCCGAAUCUCUCCAAAUUAAUUUGGAGGGUUCCAAUUUGAUUUGGAGAGAUUAAAGGGUCCUCUGAUUUGAUUUGGAUUUGGAGAUUUGGCCACCAAAUUGGGCUGAAUCGCUGCUGAAUAGAAUCAGGGACCGAAGCUUCACACAACCCUAACAGAUAGGAGGGACAAAGCAGAGGUCUUCAAUGAGUUUUUUGCCUCUGUAUUCUUGAACGUGGAUCUAGACAAAUCUCCCCAAAGCAUUACAGAUAGAAGCAGGAGGAACACCAGCCUACCUACUGUCAGUGCCAACCUAGUAAAGAGACGCUUGGAGGGGUUGGAUGUGUUUAAGUCUGUGGGACCAGACAAGCUCCAUCCCAAGGUACUGAAAGAAUUAGCCAGUGUCAUAGCAGAGCCACUGGCACAGCUGUUUGAGUACUCGUGGUGCUCAGGUGAGGUCCCAGAGGACUGAAAAAGGGCCAGUGUGGUUCCUAUUUUCAAGAAGGGGAGUAUAACAGGGGCUCAGGCAAGAGCCCCAUUACUGAGAGAGCCCUGGGAGCAGGUAACUAGGAAAACGCCUCGCACAGGUGGAGGGGAUGACUCACCAGGGGAUGUUCAGGGUAAUUAGCCCACUGUGGCCAAUAUAAACUGGGUGGCAAGCAAACACACUUUGCCUUCGGGCACGGAGGACAAAGGACAAUCCAUGAGGGGAGAAGAGGAGGCAGAAAGAGAGAGACGCCGGCCGGCUGCCUCAGAGGGUGCCCGGGACUAUGAGGUGCAGAGGGACGGCUGGCCCCAAGCAGGCAAAGUACUUACCGAAGAUCCACGACUAGUCUGGUGAGUCUGGGGAAUAGCUGGGAAAUCGCCGCCAAGGAGAACUCAGAGGGAGAGUGCUCUGGGGCUGGAGCGCAAGCAGCAAAAGCAACUAGAAGCUAUCCACCCCUCUGGGCAAUGAUGGACAGUGUUGGGACUCACCUUCAGCGGGGAGGGAGCAGCAAAGGCAGCUCCCAGUUUGGGGCCCAUGGAGGCAUGGGGAAUGUGCCCCACUAGUGAAUCAAUUAGUGGAGAACAAUCCAUAGAUACUAUGUAGCCUGGGAUACCCAGAAUGCUGGGGACUGCCACACUUCCUUAUCAGCUAAGCCAAUGUUCCCUUGCUAAUGAGGUAAUUAGCGAGGAAAAUGCAACACUGUAACCUCAAGCGAAGGAAUAAACUUGCACUGUGUGAGCUCAUCACCUGGAUUCUGUGGUGUUUCCUCACUCUAUAUCUAACGCUGAACAUAUUUUCUCUUUCGAUCCAAGUCGUGGCAGGCGGGUUCGGAGGAAGACCAAACUAGACCAACCUUCUCCUCCCACAGGGAGGAACGAGGAUCCAGUACUACCUACAAGCCCCAGCUCUGGACCAGAAUCACACUGUAUAAAUGCAGAACAAACAUAUGACCUGCACCCCAAAGAACUUAAAAGAGUGGUGCUGUGGCUCAGAGGUAUGUGUCACCCACCAGACCCUCCAAUAUUGCUGACAUACCCUACCUCAGGCAGGCAGUCAAUGAUAACAUCAUUUGUUGUGUCAGAAAUUUCUCAGUGGGGCAGACCAUAAUGGCUUGAAUUAGGGAGAAAAGGUAUCUCCAUUGCUGUAGUUUAUGUUUGUAGGGGCAGGCUCCCAGUGCUUCUCCUCUCACUUGAAGAGGGUACACUGUACUGAGACUAAUAGUUUAUUUUCACAGCUGCAGUUAGAGUACUGGACUCAGAACCCACUUAAGACAUGAAGAUGUGCAAGUUAUCAGUCAGUCUCAUUGCUAAAAGGAAGAUAACAAGCAAAAAUAAUCCCAGAAACUCCUGUGUAUAAAGGGUCAGUCUUCUUCCUGGGGUUAAUUUGAAGCCAUUGGGUUACUCACAACAUGCCAAGCCUAAGCAACCAAGAGGUCUAGUUAUUGUUCCCCUUUAUGUACCAUCCUUUCUGUUAUUUUCAUGCUUAUAGUCCUGACUUAAAGCCUCAGAAGGGCAGAAUAGCUGUUCAAGGAACUUUCCACUUUAGGGGCCCCUUGAACAAAGUUGGUUCUAUGUCAGUGCUGUUAAGUUAGUGGCAUGUAGGUUGCAUGCCUUCCACAGGGGGUUAAAUUGCAGUCUCUAGCCAGAGGCAGAUUAAUGCAAGGGUCCCCUUGGUCCCCCUAAGCCCAGGGGUCCCUGCCAAUCAGAAGCCCCCUUUGGGAGCCAGGGUCAGCACAGUCCAGGAGGGCAUCCUGGCCAUGGGCAUCCAGGGUGGGCAGUGUGUGCCUCCUCCUGGCCAGGGGCUAGGGAUAGACAUGGAGCUCCCUGAAGAUAGCAGUGGAUUCCUGGGGCCAUCUGCUGCCAGGAGGCUCCAUGGGCAGCCUUGCUUCCAUUCCCACUUUCCACCAUCUGCACAUGGCCAUUGGCACCAGAGCCGCUGGGACAGCCAGGAUGGAACAGCCCCACCCACCCGGGCUGGCAGAGCGGCCAGCAAAGGGAUAGGCAGAUGGGCAGCAAGGGGCAGAACUUAUGCCCCAUCCACCAAGUUGGCCCCAGGCCCAGCCCAUCCCAUGGCAGUGGGGGACCACAGCACCAACUGUGUGACACCCACCAAGAGAGGGGCUGGGGCUGCCUUUACCUCAGCGGUGCUCAUGCCCCCUGACUCAUCCCAGAUGCACUGAGGAGGCCAGGUGGGCCCAGCUGCAGCCCCCUGGCAGAGGAAACCUGCCCUCACACGGUGGGGGGCCUCAAAUUUUCUGUUUGCCCAGGGCCCCAAUUAAUCUUAAUCCACUACUGCCUCUAGGGUCUCACCUGGCCAACACACUCCCCAGUAACUCCAGCUGCAACAGCAGCAGCAGCUGGAAUUUCCAGGCUUCCCCCUCCCUCCUCCAGCUGCAAAGGAUAAGGCAGCACAGGGACCUAAAGGUGUCCUGGGCCAUGGUUGGGAUGGGAUGAGGAGCUAUUGUGCUUGUGCAGUACAGGAAUGAGGGGGAGGGAUAGCUGUGCAGGUGCUCAUUGCAGUGUAGAAGGGUGGAGGAGUCAUGCUUGCAUAUCUGUGUGGCACAGCAGUAGGUGGCAGCACUGAGGGGUAGUGCUUAUGUGGGCAUGCAGGGCAGUGAUGAUGUGUGGAGAAGUAUCCAUGCAGCAAUCCUGGUCUCUGCUGGUGUGGCCUCUGGGGCUUAGAAAAUGGCCAGGCCUAUUCCAGGUCACUGUUGUCCUCACUUCCAGAAAAAGAGUGCAACAGUUGAAGCAAAAUGAGUAGUGAUGCACAUGAUCCUCAGCUGAGAAUAUGCUCCCUUUGGGAUCCCUGCAGCCAUCACAAUGUGUAACAGAAGGGAAAAGACAGAGGUUUGCAACUUCUCUUCAUCUGUAUCAGGUAGCAAAGCUCAACUGAAGGCUUGAACCCCUAAUAUUUGAUUUGCUGCUAGUGAAUGUGAUUUAAUUAAUAUUGCUUCUCUAUAUGGCACUUGUAUAAUAGUUUUCAUAGUUAUAGCAUAGUACAGAAUAGUAUGAGUGUUAGUUCAUAAGCUGCUAUAAAGAGUAAGUCCUAAAGUGUCAUUGCAUCCCUUUUACAGCUGGAGAUAUUAAAAAGCAGAGAAGGUAGUUGAGAAUCUCAAUUAUGUAGCAGAAAGCCCCCUUUUUCUCUUGCCUGCAUUUGCUCUCCCCUCUUUGGAUAUGUUUCUCUUUUUCUACCUUUUCUUCCUUCCUCUCUCUUUCACUUUAAGAUAAGGAAUUGUGUUUUAAAAUUUGUGUGCGCGCAUUUUGUAUCUCCCUUUGUAGUUUGGUAUUUUUUAUCUCUUUGUGUGCCAUGGCAUUUGUAGCUUAUAUUUUAUGCUCCUCACCUUUCAACUUCCAACUAAAUGUGUUUUAGUUUCAUAAGUAAGUUAUACAUUGUAACAAUGUUAACAAGGGCAGGAAUCAAACUGCCCUUCCCUGUAUCAGGCUGGCCCCUGAAAGAGCGAGUGAAUCAGUGAUUGAAUGUGUAACAUAGUAGCAGACAGCAAUUAACACCUGGAAGCUGCAGAUCAACCAAGGGAAGAACUCAAUAGAAGACAAUGUAACAACCAGGAAAUCCUAAAUGUCACUGAUCAAGGGCUAGAAGCCCUGGCCUGAGUUAAUCAACGCCAGGGACCAACUUUUGGGCUGAAUAUCUCCAGAUCGACCACUCCCAGAGCCCUAUUCUAAAUUCAUCAGCGGACUCCCAAACCUGUAUGUUCAUGCGGAUGACCCCUGGGGCUGACAGAUGCCAUCCAGUAGCCACCGAGGGGGGAGAAGUCCCACGAGGGUCAACGACCCCUGGAUUGGGCAAACCUGAAAACUAGGGAGUCACCAAAGUUUGCCAAGGACAGAUAAAAGGCAGUGAAAAGUGACCCUCAGCGGCACCCUCUUGAUCUCCAACUUGACCAGACCUGUCCAGCCAGAAGGACCAGCCGGCGACCCCCUUCUGGAGGAUAACACCAUGCUGAAAGAAGCCUCGACUGGCCAUCGACGGCAGACUCCAGCGCUUGUAGGAUAGGUAUACCUGACUCUGUAGCUUGCUACUGUGUGUGUGUGUGUGGGGCGGGGGGACCAGCCCCAAGGUUUAUGAUUUAAUUCAUUACAGUAUUUCAAUCCUCCUAAUAAACUAGAAUUUUAAGGAUCCCGAGUUGGACAUUUGUAGCCAACAAUUAUACACAGGGAAUUGGUUUCAGAGCUAGGUUUGAAACUCAGGAGUCAUUUACUUCUGUUCUUGUUCUAAGACUAUCAGACCAAAAGUCUCCCCCUGCGUGAAUAUCAUGGCCUAUCAAUGUAUAGUGUUAGUAAGUGAGGGGUGUCAGAGAUGUUAUGGCAAGAAAUACUCUGGGGACUUACCUGUUUAUUGAGAUAUAUGUAAGUGAGUUGGUUACAUGGUGUGCCUCUCAACUGUAUAUUGUAUACUAUUAUGGGUAGCUUCUGUGCAGAGCAGAGCUAGGCAUGUUUGGCCAGGCACCCCAAGCUGACCACUUUUACUUUUGCUGCUGGCUUUAGCUAAGGACUCACUGUUCAGGGUCCUCACCUUUGCUGCAGCUGAGUUAAAUCCAUAGCACCAUCACCCUGGGCUUGCAAGAGAUGCAAAAGAAACAGUUAAACAAAUAAACUGCCGCUUAGCUUUC